rnacentral:rRNA from 1 species
AACUAACGCUGGCGGCGUGCCUAACACAUGCAAGUCGAACGAGAAAGUUGGCUUCGGCCGAUGAGUAAAGUGGCGCACGGGUGAGUAACGCGUGGAUAAUCUGCCCUUUAGUUUGGAAUAACGUACCGAAAGGUGCGUUAAUACCGGAUAAUACUGAAUGACUACUGUCGUUUAGUCAAAGAAGGCUUCUGUUUACAUGCUUUUGCUGAAGGAUGAGUCCGCGUACCAUUAGCUAGUUGGUAGGGUAAUGGCCUACCAAGGCGACGAUGGUUAGCUGGUCUGAGAGGAUGAUCAGCCACACUGGAACUGAGACACGGUCCAGACUCCUACGGGAGGCAGCAGUGGGGAAUAUUGCACAAUGGGCGAAAGCCUGAUGCAGCAACGCCGCGUGAGCGAGGAAGGCCUUUGGGUCGUAAAGCUCUGUCGAGGAGGAAGAUAAUGACGGUACUCCUCGAGGAAGCCCGGCGUACUAACGUCGCCACGCACGCGCCGGUAGUA